CAAGAACUGCAUGUACUUUAGUUUUUUGUUUUUAAGCGUAUUUGAGAUUAUCUGUAUAAUGGAAAGCGCUAUAUAAAAUAAAUCUAUUAUUAUUACAGUUAUAAGGUUCCAUUCUAUCAUCACAUUGCAGUGCAAACUCAUUGGACUGUAAUUGUAUAGUACCAUAGUUACCGUUUAGCACAGGGAUAGUUAAGCACUGGUGUAGAGAAUGGCUACUAUAAUAGAUUUAUGUGCCACUGCCAGACAUAGUGAUCAAAAGGCAGCGUGUAGCGCCCGAGGAAUAAUAGCACCUGGUCUGGGUUAACAACCAUCAUAACUGCUUUUAAUGGGUAUUUGGAACAUGUGAAAUAUAGGUAACACAUUUGCUGUUUAAAUUUGUUUUAAAGCCAAUCGACUGAGAUUGAGCAGACACUUAUAGGAAAACUCCACCCAAAAACUAUAUUUUGGUAUUUGUUUCAUUAGUCAAUUGUUGACAUAGUUUUUGAUAUAUACAUGUUUUGCAUGUCAGCAAUCAGGUUUUCAAGAUAUACAACUUGCAAGAUACAGAAAUACAGCCGUUACGAUCUAUUUCGCAUCAUAUGCUGCUGCGUAUUUCUGUAUUUUUAAUGUUAUACAUCUUGAAAGCUUGAUUGCUGAAAUGCAAAACAUUUUGGGACUAUAUCAACAAUGGACUAAUGAAACAAAUAGCAAAAUAUAGUUUUUGGGUGGAAUUCUUUUCCUUUAAGAUAAACAUUCAUUCACAAUUACAUGCUCUUAAUGUCAUGUUUGCCUCAGCAGCGUCAGUAACUGACGUUUAAGUUCCUUAACAUUCAAAUCCAUUCUCUGGCAUCUUUCUAUGUCUGAUUUUUGAAUAAUGUAAAUACUUUUGACUGUCUGUUAUCAUGUGUAAUAUGUUAUAAUCUGUAAAUAGUAUAAAUGCAUACAGCUGGUUACACAAUCUAGAUGUCACAGGUCACCUUACAUUUAGAUCUGAACACUAAAGUUAGGACAUUUUUUAUUUGCUUGUUUUGUGUUCUUGUUUUCCACAAUGUUUCCAUGUUGUUUUUCUUUAAAGUGUUUUUGAUACUAUGUGCCAUCUGUUUACCAAUGAUUCAGCUGGCAAACAAGAAAAACAUUUUGUAUUAUAUGAUCCUCUGUAUAUUUAAUUAAAAUAUUUUAC
ensembl:lncRNA